rnacentral:rRNA from 1 species
AGUGAACGCUGGCGGUAGGCCUAACACAUGCAAGUCGAACGGCAGCACAGUAAGAGCUUGCUCUUACGGGUGGCGAGUGGCGGACGGGUGAGGAAUACAUCGGAAUCUACUUUUUCGUGGGGGACAACGUAGGGAAACUUACGCUAAUACCGCAUACGACCUACGGGUGAAAGCAGGGGAUCUUCGGACCUUGCGCGAUUGAAUGAGCCGAUGUCGGAUUAGCUAGUUGGCGGGGUAAAGGCCCACCAAGGCGACGAUCCGUAGCUGGUCUGAGAGGAUGAUCAGCCACACUGGAACUGAGACACGGUCCAGACUCCUACGGGAGGCGGCAGUGGGGAAUAUUGGACAAUGGGCGCAGGCCUGAUCCAGCCAUACCGCGUGGGUGAGGAAGGCCUUCGGGUUGUAAAGCCCUUUUGUUGGGAAAGAAAAGCAGCAGGUUAAUACCCCGCUGUUCUGACGGUACCCAAAGAAUAAGCACCGGCUAACUUCGUG